UACGGAGGGGGCGAGCGUUGUCCGAAGUUACUGGGCGUAAAGCGCGCGUAGGCGGGUUGGUAAGUCCGCUGUGAAAGCCCGGAGCUUAACUCCGGAGGGUCGGUGGAUACUGCCAGUCUUGAAGGUGCUAGGGGGAGAUGGAAUUACCGGUGUAGCGGUGAAAUGCGUAGAUAUCAGGAGGAACACCGGUGGCGAAGGCGGCUUGCUGGGCCUUACCUGACGCUGAGGAGCGAAAGCGCGGGGAGCGAACAGG
rnacentral:rRNA from 1 species